rnacentral:rRNA from 1 species
GACGAACGCUGGCGGCGUGCCUAAUACAUGCAAGUAGAACGCUGAAGGAGGAGCUUGCUUCUCUGGAUGAGUUGCGAACGGGUGAGUAACGCGUAGGUAACCUGCCUGGUAGCGGGGGAUAACUAUUGGAAACGAUAGCUAAUACCGCAUAAGAGUGGAUGUUGCAUGACAUUUGCUUAAAAGGUGCACUUGCAUCACUACCAGAUGGACCUGCGUUGUAUUAGCUAGUUGGUGGGGUAACGGCUCACCAAGGCGACGAUACAUAGCCGACCUGAGAGGGUGAUCGGCCACACUGGGACUGAGACACGGCCCAGACUCCUACGGGAGGCAGCAGUAGGGAAUCUUCGGCAAUGGACGGAAGUCUGACCGAGCAACGCCGCGUGAGUGAAGAAGGUUUUCGGAUCGUAAAGCUCUGUUGUAAGAGAAGAACGAGUGUGAGAGUGGAGAGUUCACACUGUGACGGUAUCUUACCAGAAAGGGACGGCUAACUACGUGCCAGCAGCCGCGGUAAUACGUAGGUCCCGAGCGUUGUCCGGAUUUAUUGGGCGUAAAGCGAGCGCAGGCGGUUAGAUAAGUCUGAAGUUAAAGGCUGUGGCUUAACCAUAGUAGGCUUUGGAAACUGUUUAACUUGAGUGCAAGAGGGGAGAGUGGAAUUCCAUGUGUAGCGGUGAAAUGCGUAGAUAUAUGGAGGAACACCGGUGGCGAAAGCGGCUCUCUGGCUUGUAACUGACGCUGAGGCUCGAAAGCGUGGGGAGCAAACACG